rnacentral:misc_RNA from 1 species
ACUACAUUCUUUAGUUUAUGUUGAUUGAAAUUUAUGUUGUUGUUUUUUUUUUGGAUAUGUAAAUUAAUAGAGUUUUUUCACUUGAAAACUCUUCCAAGUCAUCUUGAGACAAGAGAUGAUAUAUUGAUACAUAAAUGAUUGAGUGGAAUGGGUUAUCUAGAGCAAAGCUCAUUAAUCAUUUGAAAUAUUUUUCAACGUGACUUAGAGCUGUUAUAAAACAUUUGUCAAUCAAGAAUCGGGUUUCGAGAGUGCCUGUACAUGUAUGUACAUCUUGAAUAGAUGGUUGGUUUGAAUGAUUGCAAUGUUGCCUUACUUUAAGUAGGACUGGUAGAGGACUAAUGAUUGAAAAUAUUUUUAAUCCCAAAAUCUCUUGAUAUAUUUUCUAUUGUGUGAGGUCAUUUUAGCCAAGCUGUAUGAUUUGUCAAUAGCUUACAUAUGUAUGUUGAAUGCAGAAUAUUCUAAAUACAGAACAAAUUUUGUACUGAAAACACUCUGAGUUUGAAACAAUCUUUAGAAAAACCUGUAAGUAAAUCUUUCUCUAUGUUUUUAUCUUGGCCAUUAUGUUGAUAUAUCUUUAUGCAGAUAGUGUACAGAUUUGAAUUGAAUGACAUCGGUUUUAGACGCGACACGUGGAAGGAAAAGUUGUGUUGAAUUGUCAGAACCUGCGUUGAUUGUUGAUUUGUUUUUUGUAAAUUAACACCAACUGCAAAACCUGUUUCUUUGUUUUCCAAAUUCUAUUUUAAUGUGAGAAUUGAUUUCUGAGAAUUUUCUGUGAAAGAUUAAGAAUGCUUUAGUACAUGGGAUUGUCAUUCACUAGCUUCUGUCAUUCACUCAUAUAUACACUGUGUAGAAUCUGCUGUUACUAUCAUUGUUAUUUUGUAGCAGAAUUCAGUUUGUAUAUUUUUGAAAUGUUGUUUCCUCAAUUGAAUUAUAUGAUGAGUUGUUCUCUAAAGGUUACACAAGAGUCAUCAAAGUGAUCCAAGGGGUCGCCAGCGAUACAAUACCUGUAUGUAUGACUGAUUCACCUUAAACCUUCCCUUAAACCUUAGGUUAAUGCGAAAUUGAAAUAAUGUUCUGUUGCCAAAAAUAUUUACAUAAGAAAAAAUGAGAAAUGAAUAUGUAUCGGGCUGUAUAAGUCCGUCUAUAGAUUUUGUUUCUAUUUUCACUCUAUGUUGCUCUACAUUGGAAGGGAUACUAGCUAUUCAUAUUUAAAUCUUGUGAAAUAUGUAGCUUGUCAACAGACGACCUCUUUGAACAUUCAUUACAUCUGUGUAGAAUUACAAAAUCAUGGUUGAUUUUAUUAUCCAAUAAAUUAUUUGUAUU